rnacentral:rRNA from 1 species
CACGGGGGGGGCAAGCGUUGUCCGGAAUUAUUGGGCGUAAAGGGCGCGUAGGCGGGCUGAUAAGUCUGAGGUGAAAGUUUUCGGCUCAACCGAAAAAUUGCCUUGGAUACUGUCAGUCUUGAGUUCGGAAGAGGGAAGUGGAAUUCCUGGUGUAGCGGUGAAAUGCGUAGAUAUCAGGAAGAACACCGGUGGCGAAGGCGGCUUCCUGGUCCGAAACUGACGCUGAGGCGCGAAAGCGUGGGGAGCGAACAGGAUUAGAUACCCUGGUAGUCCACGCAGUAAACGAUGGGUACUAGGUGUUGGACGGCGACGUUCAGCGCCGGAGCAAACGCAUUAAGUACCCCGCCUGGGGAGUACGAUCGCAAGAUUGAAACUCAAAGGAAUUGACGGGGGCCCGCACAAGCGGUGGAGCAUGUGGUUUAAUUCGAUGCAACGCGAAGAACCUUACCUGGGCUUGAACUGGCAUCGCGAUACUGUGAAAGCAGUAAUUCCUUCGGGACGAUGUUAGAGGUGCUGCAUGGCUGUCGUCAGCUCGUGUCGUGAGAUGUUGGGUUAAGUCCCGCAACGAGCGCACCCUUGCCCUUAGUUGCCAGCAUUUAAGGUGGGAACUCUAAGGGGACUGCCCCGGCU